rnacentral:lncRNA from 1 species
GUUUUUAUUAUUUUUCCCCUCGGGGGGGCUUUCAAUCUUUUCAGGUCAUAAAGACUCAAUAAAGGGCUGGAUGGAGGGCUUUGCAGUAGUGGAGCUCAAGAAGGAGUCCGGGCUCAUCUGGGACCUAGAACUCUCCUGGGAGGAUGUUUCACUGAACUGCAAUGACCUGCCCCAACUGAGCCUUACUGAGCAGGUCGGG